rnacentral:rRNA from 1 species
GACGAACGCUGGCGGCGUGCUUAACACAUGCAAGUCGAACGGAAAGGCCCUGCUUUUGUGGGGUUCUCGAGUGGCGAACGGGUGAGUAACACGUGAGUAACCUGCCCUUGACUUUGGGAUAACUUCAGGAAACUGGGGCUAAUACCGGAUAUGAGCUCCUGCUGCAUGGUGUGGGUUGGAAAGUUUCGGCGGUUGGGGAUGGACUCGCGGCUUAUCAGCUUGUUUGUUGGGUAGUUGCUUACCAAGGCUUUGACGGGUAGCCGGCAUGAGAGGGUGACCGGCAACAUUGGGACUGAGAGACGGACCAGAAUACUACGGGGGGCAGCAGUGGGGAAUAGUGCAAAAUGGGAGGAAGCCUGAUGCAGAAACGCCGCGUGCGGGAUGAAGGCAUUCGGGUUGUAAACCGAUUUCGAAUGUGACGAAGAGUGAGUGACGGUAAUGGGUAAAGAAGCACCGGCUAACUACGUG